rnacentral:rRNA from 1 species
CAGCAGCCGCGGUAAUACGGAGGGGGCCAGCGUUGUUCGGAAUUACUGGGCGUAAAGCGCACGUAGGCGGCUUGGUAAGUUAGAGGUGAAAGCCUGGAGCUCAACUCCAGAAUUGCCUUUAAGACUGCCGAGCUAGCAGGUGAGAGAGGUAAGUGGAAUUCCGAGUGUAGAGGUGAAAUUCGUAGAUAUUCGGAAGAACACCAGUGGCGAAGGCGGCUUACUGGCUCAUACUGGACGCUGAGGUGCGAAAGCGUGGGGAGCAAACAGGAUUAGAUACCCCGGUAGUCCCUGUCUCUUAUAC